rnacentral:rRNA from 1 species
UACGUAGGGUGCGAGCGUUAUUCGGAAUUACUGGGCGUAAAGCGUGCGCAGGCGGUUUGGUAAGUCAGAUGUGAAAGCCCCGGGCUCAACCUGGGAAUGGCAUUUGAAACUGGCGGGCUGGAGUGCGGCAGAGGGGGGUGGAAUUCCACGUGUAGCAGUGAAAUGCGUAGAGAUGUGGAGGAACACCGAUGGCGAAGGCAGCCCCCUGGGCCAAAACUGACGCUCAGGCACGAAAGCGUGGGGAGCAAACAGG